CGCCGCGUGCAGGAAGACGCCUCGGUUGUAACUGCUUUCUGUGGGACGAGCAAGGACGGUACCACACGGAAUCAGCCCGGCUAACUACGUGC
rnacentral:rRNA from 1 species